UUGGGUUAAGUCCCGCAACGAGCGCAACCCUCGACCUUAGUUGCCAGCAUUCAGUUGGGCACUCUAGGGUGACUGCCGGCUAAAAGUCGGAGGAAGGUGGGGAUGACGUCAAAUCAUCAUGCCCCUUAUGACCUGGGCUACACACGUGCUACAAUGGGCGGUACAAAGGGUCGCGAACCCGCGAGGGGGGAGCCAAUCCCAAAAAGCCGCUCUCAGUUCGGAUUGCAGGCUGCAACUCGCCUGCAUGAAGCCGGAAUCGCUAGUAAUCGCGGAUCAGCAUGCCCGCGGUCCGAAUACGUUCCGGGCCUU
rnacentral:rRNA from 1 species